CUUCCUCUUUACACUCUGCUCAUGGGCAUGCCUUUUUCCCUUCCUUCUUCGACCAAAAGAAGUCCAAUUUCCCUCGGUACCCUUUUACUAAACAGCAGCAAUAGCAGAAUUUACCUGGCCCCUGAACAAUCUGGUAUGGAAGUCAAUUAAGGGAUUUGCAUGUCUAAUGUGAGUGUUCUGUCUGUUGUAGAUGUUGAUGAAUGCAUCAAAUAUGUCUCUAUCUGUGGCCCUGAAUCAAAAUGCGCCAAUGCAUUUGGAUCACACAUCUGCACCUGCCAUUCAGGGUAUCGGCUGAACAACCCAGACAUUAUAGCCAGUUCUGAUAAUCCAUGCACAGAUAUUGACGAGUGUAGCGAGACUUCUGGUAUCUGUGGUGUUUUAACGGUGUGCAUUAACUCAGCAGGAGCAUUUUACUGUUCCUGCUCUGAUGGCUUCUACCCUUCAACUGGGAUUAUUUGGACAGUCGGGGUCACGUUUUGUAGAGCACUUCAGGAUGUUCUUGAUGAGAUACACCCCCCAGAGGGGCAAACAAGAGAGCGACAGUUUCUUUACAACAUGAAUGAGCAACUAGACGACAACGUGGGAGUCAUCAUACCAGCAGCGGU
rnacentral:lncRNA from 1 species